rnacentral:tRNA from 1 species
UGCCCCAUGGCUGAGUUGGUUACAGCGUCCGACUGUUAUUCCAUCACCGUAUUGAGCCAUCGGAAGGUCGUGAGUUCGAGCCUCACUGGGGCAG